AGCGUAGACGGUAAAGCAAGUCUGAAGUGAGAGCCCGGGGCUCAACCCCGGGACUGCUUUGGAAACUGUUUAACUAGAGUGCUGGAGAGGUAAGCGGAAUUCCUGGUGUAGCGGUGAAAUGCGUAGAUAUUAGGAGGAACACCAGUGGCGAAGGCGGCUUACUGGACAGUAACUGACGUUGAGGCUCGAAAGCGUGGGGAGCAAACA
rnacentral:rRNA from 1 species